GACGAACGCUGGCGGCGUGCUUAACACAUGCAAGUCGAGCGGUAAGGCCCUUUCGGGGGUACACGAGCGGCGAACGGGUGAGUAACACGUGGGUAACCUGCCCUCAGCUCUGGGAUAAGCCUGGGAAACUGGGUCUAAUACUGGAUAUGACUCCACGGUGCAUGUCGUGGGGUGGAAAGCCUUGUGCGGCUGAGGAUGGGCCCGCGGCCUAUCAGCUUGUUGGUGGGGUGAUGGCCUACCAAGGCGACGACGGGUAGCCGGCCUGAGAGGGCGACCGGCCACACUGGGACUGAGACACGGCCCAGACUCCUACGGGAGGCAGCAGUGGGGAAUCUUGCGCAAUGGGCGAAAGCCUGACGCAGCGACGCCGCGUGA
rnacentral:rRNA from 1 species